GAUGAACGCUAGCGGCAGGCUUAAUACAUGCAAGUCGUGGGGCAGCAUGUCCCGCAGCAAUGCGGGAUGAUGGCGACCGGCAAACGGGUGCGGAACACGUACACAACCUUCCUUUAAGUGGGGAAUAGCCCAGGGAAACUUGGAUUAAUACCCCGUAAUAUAUAGAAGCGGCAUCGCUUUUAUAUUAUAGCAGCAAUGCGCUUGAAGAUGGGUGUGCGGCUGAUUAGGUAGUUGGCGGGGUAAUGGCCCACCAAGCCGACGAUCAGUAACUGGUGUGAGAGCACGACCAGUCACACGGGCACUGAGACACGGGCCCGACCCCUACGGGAGGCAGCAGUAAGGAAUAUUGGUCAAUGGACGCAAGUCUGAACCAGCCAUGCCGCGUGGAGGAUGAAGGUCCUCUGGAUUGUAAACUUCUUUUAUCUGGGAAGAAAUCCAUUUUUUCUAAAAUGGUUGACGGUACCAGAUGAAUAAGCACCGGCUAACUCCGUGCCAGCAGCCGCCGUAACAC
rnacentral:rRNA from 1 species